AAGAGUUGCCUUGGUCAUGGUGUCCAUCCAUAACCAGUGAAACCCUAAGUAUCUAGUAGAGGCACUUUUUUGAGAGCUUAAAUCAAAGAAUUCUACCUCAGAAAUCCUUCACACUUAGAAUUUUCGGAUCAUUAAUUUCUUGUCUGCUUGCUUACAUUGUAGCCAUUAAGAAGCUAAAAGUCAUUGAGCUGAGAACUCACUUUGUUGCCCAGGAAUGUGAUUCUCUUGCUUUAGCCUCUCAACUGGAACUACAGUUGUGCAUCAUCACAAUCCAGAUCUAAAUGAAGACGUCUCGGCUACCUCUCCAGCACCAUAUCUGCCUGCCAUGCUUCGUGCCUUUGAAUAUAAUGGACUGAACAGAAUGAGGUCAUCACUUUUUCUGAUGCUGUAGUCUGAGAGGUGUUUCUAGUUUGUGGAUGCUGCCAUGUUCCUCAGUUUCUCCUUCCUGCCUUCAAAGUUAGCAAAGUGGAUUGAGUCUUCAUAUUGUAUCUCUCUGGUAAGAAGAGGUUCUCCAAUUGCAUUAGUUACUUUUCUCAUUGAUGUGAAAAAAAAAAAAACCUGACAAAGCAACUUAAGGGUUUAUUUUUGUAUGUCCACUUUGAAGGUACAGUUCGACAUGGCUGGGAAGGCAUGGUGGUAUCCAGAGGUCUGCAAUAUCAACUACAUCUGCAGAAUAUCUUUUGUUUGCCUUGUAAGGUGACAUCUACUCAUCCUGGAGAUCAGAGUAUGACAUCUUGAUGGGGAUUCAUUAUUCUGAGUAAUAUAAAGCUUUAUUUCAUUAGGUUAUUCACUUUUUAUCAACCCUUUCAAAUGUAAUCUCUACUCCUUUAUUUUUUUCCUCAACAUAGAAAUUUUAUUAAUUAUUUGGUAAUUUCAUACAGUGUACCUAGUGCUUCCCAUUCCUCCCAGGUCCACCCUCCCAACUUUUUACUCCCACAAACACCACCAAGUCCAAUUUGUGUUACUCAUAUGCUCAUUGGAAAUGACUAAACUUCCAGGGCCCAGCCUCUUAAAGAAAACUGGGUCUUUCCUGACUCCCACCCCCAGCCAGAAGCUAUCAACUUUGAAGAACUACACUUCAAUACUUGUAUCAAAGUUUUUAAGGACUCUCUUUAAUAGAUCUCUGUCUGGACUUUAUUUUGGGCAGGGAUUCUCACAGAAGCCUUCAAUAGGUCUCAGUCUUAGGAGUCUGCAGAUGGCAGCACAAGAUAUUAGCAAUGAAGAAUGGUAAUUAUGAUCCAUAUGGUUUUCUAGCAGCAACUCAGAUCACGACACCAGCAUGGCCUACAUGGUAAUACAGACCACAGAAGUUUUUCGAGGAGACUUAAUCCAGAAAAUGAACCAUUCUUCAUCUCCAAUAUCUUGUUGUUCAGAGUCAUGGUGAUUGUACAGUGUGGCAGCAUGUUAGGGGUAGGACCUGCUAGAAAUCCAGGCUGUUGAACUCCAAUCCUGCCCUGGGCCUGGUCAUCCUGCCAGCUCUGGAGUCCCCAAUCUCCCCUCCUCAGUCAGGUAAGCACUUCCGACUGCAGCAGUGGCAGAGGCUCCACUGUGUUGUCUAGUGGCAACACAGGCUUAGCAGGUAGCAAUGGGGACAGGCAGGCCUACUGGUAGCCCCAGUCUCCUAGCUGCCCAAGAACUAGGCCCUAUUUGUUCCUUAUGUGCUCCUUCAUGCAUUGUAUCUCACUUCUAUACUUGCUGCCACGGUGUUUCUAGUUCACUUUCUUUCUAGUGAAACCACUUUUUAAAAGCAUCUUCCUGUAAGACCUUCCCUUUUAUUUUAGUUGUUCGGAGAUAUUGUCAGCUCUGCAGGCUCAUCCUCUGCUGUCAUAUCUCCCCUUGAAGCUUCCAUGGUCUCUCAGGCUCCUUGGACCUGUCCUGAGAUCACACAGGUUCUGGUGGCCAUGACCAUCUUGAAAUCUCUUUCUCUGACUUUUUUUUAAUGGCAUGAGAUAUUAACAAGCAUCUUAAUUGUUAAUUAAGUUAAUGACAAAGCACACUCAUGGCUGCAAAGGGAGAAGACGAGCAUCUGUCUGGUACUUCUCAUGAAUACACGAAUCCCAUGCAUCAGGAUCCCACAUGUACUCAUUUAACUUACUUCUUUAAAGCCCCUAUCUCUAAAUAUGGACAGUUGGAGAUUAGCGCUUUCAAACGGGUAUUUGGGAGCCCAGUUUAGUCCAUAGUUAAGCAUGCUUAUGAUUUUCUCUGUGAAGCACAUGAUGACAAAUGAAAUCAGAAGGCUGAGGUAGGAGAGGGAAGAGUUUGAAAAAGAAUUAGAGAGCAGUUAAACACUCACUAGAGAAAAAGUUAACACUACCAUUUGAAGUUAACUGUAGUCAUUUGUUUAGAAUCAAAUCUGGACAUUUCUGUGAUUUCUUCCAGUUAGGUAAUCUGAUGUUACAGGAAAAAUAAAAAGAGAGGGAAAAAAACAAAAGAAAGAAAAGAUAUCUGAAUCCAACCAGGAACUGAACUUAGACGAAUAAGAAUAAAAAGAAGCAUAAUGUUUUAUAGGACAAGUGAUCGUGAGUAGCAAUGAAGAAGAUGAUAUAAAUAAUAGUUUUAGUUGUCUAAUUACACAUCCAAAAAUUACAACCUUAAAAGAAAUACUUUGCCCACAGUUUUGUAGAGCAAUGUGAGAAGUGCUCAGAGAGGUUUCUCUCUGCUGCAUUGCUGUCAUUUAGAGCAGCCUGUACUUUAGAAUCAGUUGUCUUUACAGCCUAUGAGGAAUGGACUUUUCAAUGUUAUGGAGGUGGGGGACUAUCUUACAUGGCAUCUGACCAUCUAAGAGCUCCCAAAGGACAUGGAAGAUAACAGGAUAAUGAAAGGAAAAAUCUGGAAUUGUCGGUGUUGCACUUGUAACAUUCUACUGAUAUAAUCAGUCACAGAGCCUACCCAGAUUCAAGGAGGUAAAACAACUCUAUCUCUAGAUAGAAGAACUGUAAAGUCACAUUAUAGAAGAACAAAGAGGAGUGUAACAACAGAAAACAACCCUAAAAGCCCACAAUACAGUGAAAGAGGGAGCUAUAGAUAUAAUAAUGACAAUGAUAUAAAAAGUACACAAGUGCUGUCAUGGUGUUACAAAACAAAGCCCAGGCCAGGUAUAUCUUUCUACUCAAAGAAUUCUACAGGCAGAGGCAGGAGGAUGGAUGGUAAAGUUUGAGAUUAUCUUGGGUUACAUAGUAAGAUCCUGUCUCAAAACCAAUAUCCACAAAACCCAAAGCCCUGUAUAAAAUAGACAAGAAACAAUUUUGACUUAAAAACAAAAAUAAAAUCUCAUUACAGCCAAAGUGUGUGUGUGUGU
rnacentral:sRNA from 1 species